rnacentral:rRNA from 1 species
AUUGAACGCUGGCGGCAUGCCUUACACAUGCAAGUCGAACGGUAACAGGUCUUCGGAUGCUGACGAGUGGCGAACGGGUGAGUAAUACAUCGGAACGUGCCUAGUAGUGGGGGAUAGCUACUCGAAAGAGUGGCUAAUACCGCAUGAGAUCUACGGAUGAAAGCAGGGGAUCGCAAGACCUUGUGCUACUAGAGCGGCCGAUGGCAGAUUAGGUAGUUGGUGGGAUGAAAGCUUACCAAGCCGACGAUCUGUAGCUGGUCUGAGAGGACGAUCAGCCACACUGGGACUGAGACACGGCCCAGACUCCUACGGGAGGCAGCAGUGGGGAAUUUUGGACAAUGGGCGCAAGCCUGAUCCAGCAAUGCCGCGUGCAGGAUGAAGGCCUUCGGGUUGUAAACUGCUUUUGUACGGAACGAAAAGCCCUGGGUUAAUACCCUGGGGUCAUGACGGUACCGUAAGAAUAAGCACCGGCUAACUACGUGCCAGCCGCCGCCGUAAGAC